rnacentral:rRNA from 1 species
UACGAAGGGGGCUAGCGUUGCUCGGAAUCACUGGGCGUAAAGCGCACGUAGGCGGAUUGCUAAGUCAGGGGUGAAAUCCUGGAGCUCAACUCCAGAACUGCCUUUGAUACUGAGAAGCUUGAGUCCGGGAGAGGUGAGUGGAACUGCGAGUGUAGAGGUGAAAAUUCGUAGAUAUUCGCAAGAACACCAGUGGCGAAGGCGGCUCACUGGCCCGGUACUGACGCUGAGGUGCGAAAGCGUGGGGAGCAAACAGG